UACGGAGGGUGCGAGCGUUGUUCGGAAUCAUUGGGCGUAAAGGGCGUGCAGGCGGUUGGGUAAGUCUGAUGUGAAAGUCCGGGGCUCAACCCCGGAAGUGCAUUGGAAACUGUCCGACUUGAGUACCGGAGAGGAUGGGGGAAUUCCCGGUGUAGAGGUGAAAUUCGUAGAGAUCGGGAGGAAUACCAGUGGCGAAGGCGCCCAUCUGGACGGAUACUGACGCUGAGACGCGAAAGCGUGGGGAG
rnacentral:rRNA from 1 species